CAAUGAGGACGCUUCAAACACACCACAGGAGUAUCAGUGUCCAGACAGAGACAACAUUGUCAAAUUUUGAUUAUACCACAAAAUUAGUUUCGCAUACAGCGGUUGCGUCUUCCACACCCCUCAAGACUUCAUCAAAGAGACCUUGUCUGGACCUUGAGGAAGAUGAAGAUAUCCUACAAGAAUGCUCUUCAAUUGUAACUGCACAAGAGACUGAUGUCACAUUUAAUCCAACAGGGGAUGAAACAUCGACAACAGAGCAAAAAGACUUGUCAUCUCAAGCAUCCAGCCCUAUUCAGAAAAUCUAUAAAUAUAUUGUCUAUGAGACAUGUAUCAUGGAACUGUUUGAGGUGUGCCCGGUAUGUCAUAGAAGAUGUCAUACAAGAUCACAAAGGAUUGGAACUUUUCUACGUGUUGAACAACUGUGCCACCAUUGUCAGUUCACACGGAAAUGGAACAGU